GACGAACGCUGGCGGUGUGCUUAACACAUGCAAGUCGAACGGAAAGGCCCUGCUUUUGUGGGGUGCUCGAGUGGCGAACGGGUGAGUAACACGUGAGUAACCUGCCCUUGACUUUGGGAUAACUUCAGGAAACUGGGGCAAAUACCGGAUAGGAGCUCCUGCUGCAUGGUGGUGGUUGGAAAGUUUCGGCGGUUGGGGAUGGGCUCGCGGCUUAUCAGCUUGUUGGUGGGGUAGUGGCUUACCAAGGCUUUGACGGGUAGCCGGCCUGAGAGGGUGACCGGCCACACUGGGACUGAGAUACGGCCCAGACUCCUACGGGAGGCAGCAGUGGGGAAUAUUGCACAAUGGGCGGAAGCCUGAUGCAGCAACGCCGCGUGCGGGAUGACGGCCUUCGGGUUGUAAACCGCUUUCGCCUGUGACGAAGCGUGAGUGACGGUAAUGGGUAAAGAAGCACCGGCUAACUACGUG
rnacentral:rRNA from 1 species